rnacentral:rRNA from 1 species
UACGGAGGGUCCGAGCGUUAUCCGGAAUUACUGGGUUUAAAGGGUGCGCAGGCUGCCGCGUCAGUCAGGAGUGAAAUCCCGGGGCUCAACCCCGGGCCUGCUCUUGAUACUGCGCGGCUCGGAUCAGGAUGAGGUAGGCGGAAUGUGGCAUGUAGCGGUGAAAUGCUUAGAUAUGCCAUGGAACACCGAUUGCGUAGGCAGCCUACUGGACCUCGAUCGACGCUGAGGCACGAAAGCGUGGGGAGCGAACGGG